rnacentral:ncRNA from 2 species
UCCAACUCCAUACGGGGCGGUGGGACCCAGGAAGCCGGUGCGAAUCCGGCGCGGUCCCGCCACUGUGAACAGCCGCUGACACGUGCACGCACCCCGCGUGCCGUCCCGCGGCCGUCAGUCAGGAACUGACCCAUCGCCCUUCUCCCAU